AAUGAUAUGGAAUGGAGAAAAGGGGGAUUACAGGAGAAGACGAGUGCGGCUGCAGCGCCGAGGAAGCCGAAGAAAGGAGCUGUUUCAUCGCCGCUGAAGGUAGACAUGUCGACGUUUGCGAUUUGGAUCUGAGAUCAGGUCGCUGGAUGAUUGGAAUCUGGCGAGAGAGAGAGAGAGAGAGAUGUGGAUGGAUAUAUCGCUCUGAUUUUUUUAUUUAUUUAUUUGUUAUUGUUUUGUUUUUUUCUCUCGGAUGAGUGGAAGGGAACAACGUGCAGCUUGAUCUUUCACUGAGACGACCACGUCACUCUGGGCCUGGGCCUGGGCCUGGGCCUAAUUGUGAUUCACUUAGACCCCACUUUUAAAUAUCUCAACAUUUUCCAAUCCGGUUUACAGUUUUGGUACGACUUUGAAAGAGUUUCAAAUCGGUUUAAAACUUCUACUAGCAAACACAUUACAGUAGACCACACUGUUACACUAAUUAAUCCAAAAAUGCAAUAAGAUAACAAACUGAGGAAGGAGUCAUGUGAGCUAGUAGAAGCCAUGUGAGCUAAACUGUCAUUGGUUCGCAUCUUCUUUGAUUCUCAGUUCCGUGACAUCAACAUCUUCCUUAUACUCUUGUCUAAACUUCACACAAAAUAUGAACUGAUCUCUCCUAGAUGAGUUGAACAUAUGAUGACUGAAACCUAGUGUUAACAGAGUAAUAUGCACUCGUGUUUGGUGCUAAAACUUGCUUCAGACCAUUUACUUUACAUAGAUGAUGUCUUCGUCGGGGUCAUCCUCUGGUGUAUCAGAUGUUUCUGACCCUCCUUCGCUUCCUUUCUCAGCUUUUAUUUUGUCUAGUAUUGCAAUUACCUGAAAAAAACUCCAGUUUCAGUCUCUUGUGAUGGUUAUAUAACUAGUAACUACUAGCAACCACAAGAUCGAAAACUCAGAAAUCAUGAUCAGCACCAUUAAGGAUCUUCCAACUUUUAUAAUAUAGUUAGUUUCUUUUUGUAGUGAAAGAUAGAUCAGAAGGCUUACCCUGCUUCCUCUCUCCAUGGACAAACAAACACCAGAGAAAAGCAAUCAGAGAGACUCGUGAUGGUUUCAGAAAGCAAACUUCUUUACAAAUAAAUGUAUUUAACUUUCCUCAGGACAAUACAAGAAUACAAAAACAUACCAAGCUCCAUCCAGAGCCGGCCCUUGGGCCAAGCCAAGGAAGCAGUGGCUUCCGGCCUCAUUAUUAUAAAUGAAAUUUCGGCCACAAUUUUUCAAAAAUUACCUUUAGUCUGGUGGCAACAUAUGAAUGUUGCAUACUCUCUUGGCCCAACCUGGGUUCGAAACUCAAAAAAGUGGCCUAUUUUUUUAAAUUUGAAUCCGGUAUGGGAUUCCUUAGGACCGGCUCUGGCUCCAUCAGAGCUCUUUAUUACAGAACAAAAUAAUAAAAAUCCCUACAUCGGAGAGCAACCACCGAGAGAGAAAUAGGAGAGCGUCCAAUAAUUUUUUUCAGUUCCCGAGAGGAUACAUACUAAUGAACGAUAGAACAAAACACACAGAGAAAAUAAAGUACCUUCGGGGGAAAAUCUUGUGGGUUACAUAUCUCAUUCAGCUCUAGACUGGCCAGCUCUUGAGGAGAGGAUGAUUCCUACAAUAAGCCCGUAAAGAGCAAGUGCUUCUGCGAAGAUAAGGAUAAGAAUCAUCCCAACAAAGAGCUUAGGCUGCUGAGCAUUUGCCCUGAAAAAAGAAUUACAAACGAACAAGUCAAACACCAAUGUCACAUACACACUCACGUGUGAAGUAUUAUAGGUUGCAGGAGGAGGGAAUAACAAACCUGACACCGGCAUCACCGACAAUACCAAUGGCCAUACCAGCAGAAAGACCAGCAAGACCACAAGCAAGACCGGAGGAGAGGUGAGCGUAUCCAUCGAAGAGGUAGUAAGACUUGGCCUUUGGGUUAAUACCGGUACUGAUGAUAACAGCAAUAAUCAAGCCGUAAAUACCCAACACACCAGCCAUAACAACGGGGACAAUGGACUUCAUGACCAGCUCGGGCCUCAUCACUCCCAUAGACGCCACACCAACACCACUCUUUGCGGUUCCAUAAGCAGCUCCCAUACCUAUCCACCCAAUAAAAACAAAGAUUUAUUACCAUAAUGUCAAAAAUAUAAAAUAAUCCUCAUAGGAUCCCACAAGAUUACUCUAACAAUAACAUAAUGUCAAAAAUGAAUCGAAUCGAAUCUCAGAUUUACAACACAAUGGUGAUUGAAACGCAUUGCUUAAUAGAUUUUCCAAGGUCAAACACUAAUCAAGAUCCAAUAGCUACUCAAUGAAGCACACGGUGGGCUCCAAAUUUCAAGGGAAUGCACAACAAAAUGGAAAUGAAUCUCUUCGCAGAUCUUCAGCUAGAUAAAAAUUUGACUAAGCUACAAUUCAAUGGUGCUCGAAUAACAUUGCUGAAUCAGCUGAUCCAAGGUCAAAUGAAAACAAUAUCUUAUAAGAUCACACAUUCUUUUGUCUAUGGACGCAGAUCGGAACCUAAAUACUCAUUCGUCAAUCAAUCAUACACGCGAUCUGAAGAGCUAUGCGCAAGUUAGCACAUAUCUAGCUUAGUUACAAAUGUCAGACGUCAAUCCUAGAAUCCAGGAAGACGAUCACGGACAAACGAUUCAGAUCAAAACAAAAUGAUAUGGAAUGGAGAAAAGGGGGAUUACAGGAGAAGACGAGUGCGGCUGCAGCGCCGAGGAAGCCGAAGAAAGGAGCUGUUUCAUCGCCGCUGAAGGUAGACAUGUCGACGUUUGCGAUUUGGAUCUGAGAUCAGGUCGCUGGAUGAUUGGAAUCUGGCGAGAGAGAGAGAGAGAGAGAUGUGGAUGGAUAUAUCGCUCUGAUUUUUUUAUUUAUUUAUUUGUUAUUGUUUUGUUUUUUU
rnacentral:lncRNA from 1 species